GCCGCUCUGAUCAACUUUUGUUGUUGGACCAAGACAUCUAUAGUUUGCCAAAUCCAAACUUUGGCUUGUCUGGUUUAGACGCCAGCUCGUGUACCAGUGCUGAUAAUGUGUUGAAUGUUGAUAAUGCAUGAAAUGUCCAUGCCUUCAACCAAAAUAGUUGAAUCAAGAUCUAACAUCGCCAUCUUACUGUCCUAUAGCUAACACUUUGUUUACUCCCACAAGUACCAUUAACAAUUGGUCUCGGUAAAGCACUGGAGUAUGAUUGAGGACUUAUGUCAACUCACUUCUCUUUCUCCUUGUAGUAGCCCCAGGAUGGUGUGUGAACUGCUACUCUCCUCACUGUGGUUCCUCUUUGUCAUCUUCUGGGUGGAGACCAUAAGCGUUUGGCUGUUUCUAUGCAUCUUCUACCAGGAUCGGGCAUUUUAUCACUGGGGGGACGGGGCAUUUGCAGAUGACCCCGGUCAAAUGCUGUACAUGUUGAGCAGAGUUGAUCCUUCUGGACAGAUGCAGACCUGAGAAAGGAAAAUGAUGAGGAACAGCACAUGAUGAAAGCAAGAAGGCUAAACUAGGCGUGGACGCGGAUUGGUUUGCAUUUCCUAUAAAGUUAGGAUAUGUUUGCAUCCGAAGAAGGAAUAAAUUAUAACAUUUUCCAAGCCUGUUUAUGCACUGUGCUUUUUUAUUUUCAUUUGGCUGCUGAUUGGUUCUCCGGUCAACCAGCCAUUUGUCAAUUGUAUGUUCCAAUUCUAAAAAGGGGC
ensembl:lncRNA